GUCGCGCUGCGCGGCGCGGGCACGCGGCCCGUGGUGGCGGCACGGCGGGACGAGCCGUUCGGCCCGGUGAUGCGGCGCC
rnacentral:tRNA from 1 species